GGUUGCGAUCAUACCAGCACUAAUGCACCGGAUCCCAUCAGAACUUCGCAGUUAAGCGUGCUUGGGCGAGAGUAGUACUAGGAUGGGUGACCCCUUGGGAAGUCCUCGUGUUGCAACCCC
rnacentral:rRNA from 1 species